rnacentral:piRNA from 1 species
UGCAUAGUUGAGGAAAGUCCACAAAAGGGGA